UACGGAGGAUGCAAGCGUUAUCCGGAAUUAUUGGGCGUAAAGCGUCCGCAGGUGGCACUUCAAGUCUGCUGUCAAAGGUCGGGGCUUAACCCCGGAAAGGCAGUGGAAACUGAAGCGCUAGAGUGUCGUAGGGGUAGAGGGAAUUCCCGGUGUAGCGGUGAAAUGCGUAGAGAUCGGGAAGAACAUCGGUGGCGAAAGCGCUCUACUGGACGACAACUGACACUCAGGGACGAAAGCUAGGGGAGCGAAUGG
rnacentral:rRNA from 1 species